rnacentral:rRNA from 1 species
AUGGCGGGGAAUGGCAACGGAGGACAGCCAAGCGACGCUCCGGCUCCAGCGCCGGCCUCGCCGCUGCCAGGUGGACGCGUACCGGUUGCAGCCGACGUCGGGGUGCAGGAGGACGUACAGCAGGAAGAAGAGAACCCAGCGCUGCCCGCUCACGGUGCUGGCCUCGGCGGAGGCGUCCCUGUGCCAGUCGGCGUCGUCGUGCAUGAGGAGGUGCCACAGGACCCAGCGCCGGCCGCUCAGGAUGCAGCCGACGUGGGCUUGCUUGAGGCGCUGGUACCCGAAGACGAAGAUGAUACCCCCCCGACGCCGGAUCAAGAAGAUGGAGGUGUUGUCAAUCAGGACUUACAAGAUCUGCAGGACAAACUAGAUGCCCCUGAACCCGAUGUGACCGGACACCAAGUCGAGGGGUCAAGCUUCAUGAGGGAGCUGGAGAAAGUGCUGGCCCCAGGACCCGCACACAAGAAACAAAGAACUGACAACAUUCUCCCUCCACCACCGGGACAGGUGGCCGUCGGGGGUACUGCAGCGGCCAUCCAAUUUGUCCCAAAUCACGUGCCGGCUGUGGGCGGAGGGCCAGGCGGCGUGCUCAUGGCUGCAGGCAUGGGUCCAGGUGUUGCCUCUAACCCAGGUGCUCAGUUUGCCAGCAUCCCUCGGCCUCCAAACCUGAGUCAGCUGCCCUUGUGUCCUGGCUGCAACAUCCGGCCGCCAGUGAUAAAUAUUGUAGGACGAUCAAUGCUACCGCCCGCUGUUUUACCUCCGCACCCAUGUUUGUGCAAUCCGUGCUUCUAUGGAGCACCAGAUCGGCGGGAGAUUGAUUGCCCUGUGUGUGCUGAGUACUAUGGACUGUACCCAUGGAGAUCAAGAAGGGUUUGA